GUUAACGUAGCUUAAACAAAGCGCGGCACUGAAGAUGCCAAGAUGGGCCGUGAAAAGCCCCGAUAACA
rnacentral:tRNA from 1 species